GACGAACGCUGGCGGCGUGCCUAAUACAUGCAAGUAGAACGCACAGUUUAUACCGUAGCUUGCUACACCAUAGACUGUGAGUUGCGAACGGGUGAGUAACGCGUAGGUAACCUGCCUGGUAGCGGGGGAUAACUAUUGGAAACGAUAGCUAAUACCGCAUAAUAUUAAUUAUUGCAUGAUAAUUAAUUGAAAGGUGCAAUUGCACCACUACCAGCUGGACCUGCGUUGUAUUAGCUAGUAGGUGAGGUAACGGCUCACCUAGGCGACGAUACAUAGCCGACCUGGGAGGGGGAUCGGCCACACUGGGACUGAGACACGGCCCAGACUCCUACGGGAGGCAGCAGUAGGGAAUCUUCGGCAAUGGACGAAAGUCUGACCGAGCAACGCCGCGUGAGUGAAGAAGGUUUUCGGAUCGGAAAGCUCUGUUGUAAGAGAAGAACGGAUGUGGGAGUGGAAAGUUCACGCUGUGACGGUAUCUUACCAGAAAGGGACGGCUAACCACGUG
rnacentral:rRNA from 1 species